rnacentral:lncRNA from 1 species
AGCACAAUUCAAGUUUAUUCCAUUUGUUCUUGCAACACAAAACUUAAACACAGUAUUAUUUAGCAUUCUGAUGUACAUGAACUAGGAUAAUGAGAACCCCAACUGUGUCAAAUGUAUUACACUGUGGAAAAAAUGAACUCAAAUAUAUCAAAAUGCACAAAGCACUAGUCUUCCUCCAUUACUGCUUAGAAAGAUAUGAUUGUUUCUCCAUUUACAAAAUAGAAUCAGGACAUUUGAAAUCCAUUAUUUGGGGGAAGGAAAUCAAUGAAUGAAGGGCCUGCUUGCUGGCAGCUUCCACCCAUGGCAUCCACCUACUUCUCCUUCAGGCCCCACUGGGUUUAGAAGGUUAGCUGUGCAGAGAACUACUGGGUCGAUUCCGGUGCCGUUAGCUGAACUGUA